UAGCUAUUACUCUCGCGCUUGACCUUUAUUGCGAUAAUAUAAAAUAAGGUAUUGGCUCGUAUAUAAUCCUAAAAAAUGAGAAUACGUAAUUUAACUAUGCAUGACUCGUAUUCAAGAAUCAUUAUUCUAAAAUAAUAAUCUGAAAUUUCUAUUGUUAAUCCUGGCUGUCGGAUUAAAUUAUAAAAUUAAUCUGCUUGUCUUAGGGUUUUCUAAGCCGUUUACUAAUAAUAAUUUCGUUCCAAAUUAAACCAUAGUUAAAACUCACUAAUUCUAAUUAAUACUAGAUUAAUAUGGGCUAGUCUUUAAUCGGCUAAACAAAAAAAUAUGGGUGCCCAACAAAAAAAUAAACUCCAGCCCACAUAAAAAUAAAAUCGGCCCAAUUAUAUCUCUCUUUCUUAGUCCAAAUAAUAAAAUUAAGCCCAAAAGGGCCGCCCACUUCUUGUGUAAACAUACGGCUGAACUGCCUUUUCUUCAUAUCUCAAAAUCGAAAGCUCACCUCUCCCUCUCUCUCUCUCUCUCUCUCUCUCAUUCCCGGCGUCGCCGCCGCCGACCGCCUCGUUGAGCUGCCGCCUCCCACUCCUCUCCAUUUCACACCUUUGUCCCUAUUAUCUCUCAAUUAAAUCUUCCUCAUACCCAAAUCUACAAAAUCGAAAAGAGCUUAAUUCUCAUCAAGAGAUUUCGCCGCCGCCUUCGUGGAACCGCCGACGGUCGUCUCUUUGCUCAUCUCCGGCGAUUGAUUGACGUCGUUCUUCCUUUCGAAAUGAGCCCCAGCUCUCCGCUCUUAUUCUCUCACAGAAAGACCCAGCCUCAAGCAGAACUCAAUUUGGAACAUUAAUUAUUCAUCUCUCCUCCACAUUCAAAGGAAGCACACAAAUGAGGGAGAAAAGUUCGGCCCUAGCUUCUCCGUCUAAAAUCGCGGGUCAGCGCCCUGGUUCGAUGCUGUCGCGUCUUCCUUGGCCGGAGAUCGCAGCGCCGCUGAAAUCUGUCCUCUGCUCAAGAACCGGCUCAAGCCUCACUCUCUCCCUUCUUCUAUUGAAUUCUGGUAUUUCUAUAAUUGAUUAUGCAAGAGAUAAAACUAAGUUCGUGGUUUACUAAUGUAUCAAGAAUUUUCCUUGCUUGCCUCGUGUGAUAAGAAAAUAUAGCAUAAACUGAUUUCGAUUGCUAAGUCCCUGUGUGCAUAUAUAUACACUCGUUGUAAACUUUAUGUCCUUCAACUAAUCCUGUUUGUGAAUGAAAUGCGAAUCGGAUUUGAACGAGCUGAGCUUAGUAAAUACCUGCAAAUAUUUGGUGUUGGUGGCUGCUGUUAUUGAUAUUGAAUGCAGACGAUGGGGACUCUUAAAGUUGGCAGAGCAGCAGCUUAAUGAAUUCUCCUUACUUUGGUGGCUGAAGGAUCAGAGAAUGAAGGCAAGGAGUGUUGGCUAGUAGCCUUAAAGAAUCGAAAAUGGUGGAGGUGGUGGGUGAUUGAGGAGAUGGCUGUCAUAGGGUGGCUGAUUGACACCUAUGUGUACCUUGGCAUGGUUAAAGGGAUGGGAGAGUGGCUUGAAGGCUGCCGUUGCAGCUAUUCUGCACACACAUAGCACACGUCCCCUUUCUUUCCCUUUCUUUGGUCUGCUUUCUUGAUGUAGUAGGUAGGAAAUAGGGAUGCAGGGAAUAGUAAGUUGUAAAGUUGUGAUGUGAUGAAUAAAAUCCUUCAGUGUUGCUCA